rnacentral:rRNA from 1 species
UGGGGAAUAUUGCACAAUGGGCGCAAGCCUGAUGCAGCCAUGCCGCGUGUGUGAAGAAGGCCUUCGGGUUGUAAAGCACUUUCAGCGGGGGGGAAGGCGUUAAGGUUAAUAACCUUGGCGAUUGACGUUACCCGCAGAAGAAGCACCGGCUAACUCCGUGCCAGCAGCCGCGGUAAUACGGAGGGUGCAAGCGUUAAUCGGAAUUACUGGGCGUAAAGCGCACGCAGGCGGUCUGUCAAGUCGGAUGUGAAAUCCCCGGGCUCAACCUGGGAACUGCAUUCGAAACUGGCAGGCUAGAGUCUUGUAGAGGGGGGUAGAAUUCCAGGUGUAGCGGUGAAAUGCGUAGAGAUCUGGAGGAAUACCGGUUGCGAAGGCGGCCCCCUGGACAAAGACUGACGCUCAGGUGCGAAAGCGGGGGGAGCAAACAGG